UUAAUUAAAUAGUCCAUGCUUACCAUUAUGUGGGUUUAGGGUGUACAUAAUAAGUCCAGCUUGAC
rnacentral:tRNA from 1 species